GCUCACGACAAUCCAGUUUGUGACCCUGGACCAGUCGAUGAAGCUCCGUAUGAAACUGUGAAUCCCAGAAUAAGUGCUGAAUGCAGAGAUGCUGAGGAGAUCCAGUACGCCACUGUCCAAUAUCACAAAAACACACCGAAGAAGAAAGAGGAAGAGGAGGAGCAGCGUCAGUGUGACAACACACCAGUUCAGCAGCCUGAUCAAGACCACAGGCAAGAGAAUGUGGAAACUGUGGAGGAGUCUGUGAUUUACAGUACGCUCAAAUGAGUAAAAGACUGUCCAUGGGAGAUUAUUGAAUAAUAGUUGUGUUUCAGCCACACAUUCAGGCUUUUGAUAGAUUUCACUGUGUUCCAGAUCAGUUUAAUGGUGCUUUUUGAAUUUGUGGUAUUGUUAUGCUUGUUUGAGUGUAAUAUGUUAAAUGUCGUCUGUCGUUUGUUUGCUUUUCAGUGCUUUUGAGAUGUAGCUUAAAAAUCAAAGCAAAUUUAAGUAUGAGAGAGAAAUAAAAUCACAUUGAUUAACCUAUGCUUUAAUUAGCUUACGCUAAUUAAUCUUUAUGCAGCUAAAAAGUCGUUUAUUAUUUAUGAUGUAAAACUAGGGGCUUUUUUUGUAUUUGUGAGUCUUCAUAAAUUCCUCUUUAUAUUUUAACUACUUAAGGGUUCAAAUAUUUACCACCAUGCAGAUUUAAAGGCUUUAUUUGCU
rnacentral:lncRNA from 1 species